rnacentral:rRNA from 1 species
GAUGAACGCUGGCGGCGUGCUUAACACAUGCAAGUCGAACGGAAAGGCCCAAGCUUGCUUGGGUGCUCGAGUGGCGAACGGGUGAGUAACACGUGGGUGAUCUGCCCUGCACUUUGGGAUAAGCCUGGGAAACUGGGUCUAAUACCGGAUAGGACCAUCGUUUAGUGUCGGUGGUGGAAAGUUUUUCGGUGUGGGAUGAGCUCGCGGCCUAUCAGCUUGUUGGUGGGGUAAUGGCCUACCAAGGCGUCGACGGGUAGCCGGCCUGAGAGGGUGUACGGCCACAUUGGGACUGAGAUACGGCCCAGACUCCUACGGGAGGCAGCAGUGGGGAAUAUUGCACAAUGGGCGCAAGCCUGAUGCAGAGACGCCGCGUGGGGGAUGACGGCCUUCGGGUUGUAAACUACUUUCGCCAAGGACGAAGCGUUUUGUGACGGUACUUGGAGAAGAAGCACCGGCUAACUACGUG